rnacentral:tRNA from 1 species
GCCGAAGUGCUGAAACUGGUAGACAGGCUAGAUUCAGGAUCUAGUGAGCGUUAUGCUCGUAGGGGUUCGAGUCCCCUCUUCGGCA